GACGAACGCUGGCGGCGUGCUUAACACAUGCAAGUCGAACGGAAAGGCCCUGCUUUUGUGGGGUGCUCGAGUGGCGAACGGGUGAGUAACACGUGAGUAACCUGCCCUUGACUUUGGGAUAACUUCAGGAAACUGGGGCUAAUACCGGAUAGGAGCUCCUGCUGCAUUGUGGGGGGUGGAAAUUUUCGGCGGUUGGGGAUGGACUCGCGGCUUAUCAGCUUGUUGGUGGGGUAGUGGCUUACCAAGGCUUUGACGGGUAGCCGGCCUGAGAGGGUGACCGGCCACAUUGGGACUGAGAUACGGCCCAGACUCCUACGGGAGGCAGCAGUGGGGAAUAUUGCACAAUGGGCGGAAGCCUGAUGCAGCAACGCCGCGUGCGGGAUGACGGCCUUCGGGUUGUAAACCGCUUUCGCCUGUGACGAAGCGUGAGUGACGGUAAUGGGUAAAGAAGCACCGGCUAACUACGUG
rnacentral:rRNA from 1 species